rnacentral:rRNA from 1 species
UACAGAGGUCUCGAGCGUUGUUCGGAUUCAUUGGGCGUAAAGGGUGCGUAGGUGGCGCCGUAAGUCGGGUGUGAAAUUUCGGAGCUUAACUUCGAAACUGCAUUCGAUACUGCGGUGCUUGAGGACUGGAGAGGAGACUGGAAUUCAUGGUGUAGCAGUGAAAUGCGUAGAGAUCAUGAGGAAGACCAGUGGCGAAGGCGGGUCUCUGGACAGUUCCUGACACUGAGGCACGAAGGUCAGGGGAGCAAACGGG